GUGCUCCCUCUGGGCAGCACAUAUACUAAAAUUAGAAUGAUACAGAGAAGAUUAGCAAUGGCCCCUGCUCAAGAAUGUUUAAAUAACUUUACCCAGACAAUGUAGUU